AGGUCAGGUGAACACCGCCGUCUGUCGGGUGCUGUGGGGCUGGGUGGGGAGGGCAGUCCCAGAAGGAAGGAGGCCGGGUGCAGAAACAGGCUUCAAGAAGGAGGAGAGCAGAAGCGGGUCCUGGUGGCUUCCACCAGCCGGGCCACGCUCCCCCAGUCUUCCAAGCUGCCCUGCGUGAGGACAGCAGGGGAGCAGAUCUUCCUGCAGACAGGACGGCUGGCCUGCCUUCUCCCAGAACAGUGCAGUCAGAUAGGAGGACAGUGGACUCGGCGGGAUCCACAUCUCACAUGACCACCGCUGGCUGAGCCUCCUUCCUUCCACCAGGAUGGUGGUAGGAUUCACUAUUGCGUGGCGGACAGGUGGCCUCUUGGUGAGGGCAUCCCAGGCCAGCACCCUCUGCGACUUCUCUGGCUUGACUCCUGGUCUGUGUCUGUGUGGCAGCCGCUGCAGGAGACCACCUGUUCAGUGGUCCAAGGCUGGGUCCUGCCCAGCCACAAGAGAUGUUUUCGGCGGACUUCACUGCAGCCGCCAGCACCAUGGAGCCACGGACAUGGGGGGUGAGGUCCCUUUGGGGCUGCAUGUUUUAUCAGAUGCCCAAAUCCUAGGCUCUUUCUCCAAUAGGCACUGACCUCCUUCCUGGCCUCCUGCCAGGUGCCUGGAGGGAGAGUCAGGUUUCCGUUUGGAUUGCGGCCGGUCCCCAUCAUCACAGAGGAUGAGUGUGUGACAGAUCAGGCGGCAGGAGAGCCGUUCCAGGGCGAGUGUCUGGCCCAGGAGAGGACUGGUCUCAUGCACUCCCUCCUGUGUGGUACUCGCAAGACUGUGCUUUGUUCCUGCCUUCCUGCCCCUGCCCCACUCAGGCUGCAAGUGCUUGUGGUCCUGGUGGUCAUCUUCUCACACGCAGGGGUCAUGAGCAAACUCAUUUCUCUCCACUCUCUAUCAUUGCAAAAGCCGUGCAAACGGUUGGGGCCCCAUGCGGCCUCCGUCCUCAUCAUUGUGUCCUUGAUGAGCUGAGAUGCAGCAGGUGUCAAUUCCCAGCAUUUUCCCAGAGACCUCACAGUUCUCUUGUCCAAGGUGGGUUGUAACUGCCUGGUGCCCUGAUUUUACCUUUAACGAAGGAACAUCGUGUGGUGUUCAGAACAUUAAACAAGAAGGACAGUGAAGUGAAAUAGGCGAGACUGGAAAAGCAAGAGAGCCCAGAACAGCCCAGAACUCUGGAAUGAGGGGGAGGCAGGGGAGGCUGUGCCUGAGGGCAGGGCGGGCUCCAGAGCCGAGUAUGGGGAGGGCUGGAGAGGGAGGCCAGACCUUGCAGACAUAUGUUAUAAUUUGCUAAACCCCUUUGUAAAAACUAUAUUGCGUGAACUUUGGGGAUUUUUUAAAUUAAAAUAUACAUGCAGGG